CCUACGGGUGGCUGCAGUGAGGAAUAUUGGUCAAUGGACGAGAGUCUGAACCAGCCAAGUCGCGUGAAGGAUGACUGCUCUAUGGGUUGUAAACUUCUUUUAUAUGGGAGUAAAAUGUUCCACGUGUGGGAUUUUGUAUGUACCAUCUGAAACAGGAUCGGCUAACUCCGUGCCAGCAGCCGCGGUAAUACGGAGGUUCCGAGCGUUAUCCGGAUUUAUUGGGUUUAAAGGGAGCGUAGGUGGAUUGUUAAGUCAGGUGUGAAAGUUUGCGGCUCAACCGUGAAAUUGCAGUUGAAACUGGCAGUCUUGAGUGCAGUAGAGGUGGGCGGAAUGCGUGGUGUAGCGGUGAAAUGCUUAGAUAUCACGAAGAACUCCGGUUGCGAAGGCAGCUCACUGGACUGCAACUGACGCUGAGGCUCGAAAGUGUGGGUAUCAAACAGGAUUAGAUACCCGAGUAGUC
rnacentral:rRNA from 1 species